GAAUUCAGCCCGUUUCGGGCGUUUCCUCCCAAUGACUCGGCCGCCUUCUCCUCCUGGAAGGCGGCCGUUCUUUUUUCCAGU
rnacentral:sRNA from 1 species